AAGACACAAGCAGUAGCGGCCAAACGGAAGAAGGUGGCCCAAGUCCUGAGCUGAGACAGAAGUUGUUCCUGUGUAAGAAAAAGUGUGAGUUCCUCCUGGCCUGGUGUGGGGAGUAUGGGCACCAGCUGACUCCUCUGGCCAUGGACUGUAGUCAGGAAUAUGCCUCCCUCAGCAGAGAGCAUUCCCAGCAUGAGAAGACAAAAUCGGAGCUGGAGAAGGUUUGGGGAGGAUCCAAGCCGACCAGGAAGGAGGACAAACCACUCAUUCAGGAACUCUCCUGACACAGAUGGACUUUGCUUAAGAUAACAUUGCUUGUAAAUAAAAGCUUCCCUCAAUGUACAUGUAUAUUGCAGGAUGCUGUACAAAUACAGUAACAUUUUUUCUUCUACAUCUAACAAAGCAAAGAGUGCACAGAAAGGUUCAUACACGUACAAGUUACACAAAUGUAGUAGUAAGCUUCCUGAACUAUUUAUUUAUUUUUCACCAUAUUUUAUCAUAUACCUAAUGUCCAACACAUUCUAGUAUAUAAUACUUGCAGAUAGACUAACAUGUAUAAUAUAUGUAAAGAUUACAGAUUGAGUGCAGUUUGUACAUGUAGGAGCUGCAGAGAGAUAUUGUCUAAGUACCUAAAUCAUGUAAAACAAAGGACAAAAUGCAUACAAAAUGAAUACAAGUACAAGCUAUAUCAGAAGUACCUUUCAUGACAGUAGCCACUUUACACAUUAUGUCCACCACUUCCACUGCCAUGCAUGUAAUGCUAAGCCAGGCUAUUCUAAUGUUCCUGUAUA